rnacentral:misc_RNA from 1 species
GAUGAAGAACGUAGUGAAAUGCGAUACGUAGUGUGAAUUGCAGAAUUCAGUGAAUCAUCGAAUCUUUGAACGCACAUUGCGCCCUUUGGUAUUCCAAAGGGCAUGCCUGUUCGAGCGUCAUUUGUACCCUCAAGCUUUGCUUGGUGUUGGGCGUCUUGUCUCCAGUCCGCUGGAGACUCGCCUUAAAGUCAUUGGCAGCCGGCCUACUGGUUUCGGAGCGCAGCACAAGUCGCACUCUUUUCCAGCCAAGGUCAGUGUCCAACAAGCCUUUUUUCAACUUUUGACCUCGGAUCAGGUAGGGAUACCCGCUGAACUUAAGCAUAUCAAUAAGCGGAGGA